AGAGUUUGAUCCUGGCUCAGGACGAACGCUGGCGGCGUGCCUAAUACAUGCAAGUCGAACGCACUCUCGUUAGAUUGAAGAAGCUUGCUUCUGAUUGAUAACAUUUGAGUGAGUGGCGGACGGGUGAGUAACACGUGGGUAACUUGCCCUAAAGUGGGGGAUAACAUUUGGAAACAGAUGCUAAUACCGCAUAAAACCUAGCACCGCAUGGUGCAAGGUUGAAAGAUGGCUUCGGCUAUCACUUUAGGAUGGACCCGCGGUGCAUUAGUUAGUUGGUGAGGUAAAGGCUCACCAAGACCGUGAUGCAUAGCCGACCUGAGAGGGUAAUCGGCCACACUGGGACUGAGACACGGCCCAGACUCCUACGGGAGGCAGCAGUAGGGAAUCUUCCACAAUGGACGAAAGUCUGAUGGAGCAACGCCGCGUGAGUGAAGAAGGUUUUCGGAUCGUAAAACUCUGUUGUUGGAGAAGAACGUAUUUGAUAGUAACUGAUCAGGUAGUGACGGUAUCCAACCAGAAAGCCACGGCUAACUACGUGCCAGCAGCCGCGGUAAUACGUAGGUGGCAAGCGUUGUCCGGAUUUAUUGGGCGUAAAGCGAGCGCAGGCGGUUUCUUAAGUCUGA
rnacentral:rRNA from 1 species